rnacentral:rRNA from 1 species
UACAGAGGUCCCGAGCGUUGUUCGGAUUCAUUGGGCGUAAAGGGUGCGUAGGUGGCGCCGUAAGUGGGGUGUGAAAUCCCGGGGCUUAACCCCGGGACUGCAUUCCAUACUGCGGUGCUUGAGGACUGGAGAGGAGACUGGAAUUUACGGUGUAGCAGUGAAAUGCGUAGAGAUCGUGAGGAAGACCAGUGGCGAAGGCGGGUCUCUGGACAGUUCCUGACACUGAGGCACGAAGGCCAGGGGAGCAAACGGG